UUUUCCAUCUUCCUUACAGUAACGGAUCGCCCUACCGACUGAUUCAGAAAUUUCGCUAAUCUUAGAGAAGAUUUGCUGUUCAAAAUUGAUGGCUACUAGUCUUUCGUCGUUCAUUCGAUAAGUUGUUUUAAAGGAUCUUAAAUAGAGUUAUUGAAGAAUUUCUAAUUCAAAAUAAUCUCACGCCAACGAUCGUUUCGUGGUUAUUCCGGAAAAAGGCAUAUACAGCUUAUUCGGGCAAGCUAAUAUUCACUUUAAAAACGAGAUAAUAAGUAAUUCUAAUAA